UAGAGAUAGAGCGUUCCCCUUCGGGGGACAGAGUGACAGGUGGUGCAUGGUUGUCGUCAGCUCGUGUCGUGAGAUGUUGGGUUAAGUCCCGCAACGAGCGCAACCCUUGAUCUUAGUUGCCAGCAUUCAGUUGGGCACUCUAAGGUGACUGCCGGUGACAAACCGGAGGAAGGUGGGGAUGACGUCAAAUCAUCAUGCCCCUUAUGACCUGGGCUACACACGUGCUACAAUGGAUGGUACAAAGGGCUGCAAGAC
rnacentral:rRNA from 1 species